rnacentral:misc_RNA from 1 species
UACAGAGGGUGCGAGCGUUAAUCGGAAUUACUGGGCGUAAAGCGCGCGUAGGCGGCUUUGCAAGUCGAGUGUGAAAUCCCCGGGCUCAACCUGGGAACUGCAUUCGAGACUGCAUAGCUAGAGUAUGGGAGAGGGAAGUGGAAUUUCCGGUGUAGCGGUGAAAUGCGUAGAUAUCGGAAGGAACAUCAGUGGCGAAAGCGACUUCCUGGACCAAUACUGACGCUCAUGUGCGAAAGCGUGGGGAGCAAACAGG